rnacentral:snRNA from 1 species
ACCACUCUGGCCUUUUGGCUUAAAUCAAGUGUAGUAUCUGUUCUUAAUAGUUUAACCACUAUUAUGGAGGCACCGCCUCCAUUACUGGUUAAGUAUCUAAUUUCUGCCGCCCUUGCCUCUGGGCUCUGCUUGCAACCUGGAGGCGCGAUGACCUUGCUAUUGCAGUAUCAGCAGGCUGUGUCGUCGAGGGUCU